GUUUUAAACUUUACACUGUUCAAACAUUUCUAACAACUUUUAUUGAUCUCACUGUUAGAGCAUCUGUGUAUUAUCCUCUGAUAACUUUUGUUACAAAACUAUUUGUUCCAUUCAAAACUCGCUACUGCAACAUAAACAACUCACCCAGCUGUGAUUUCAACGGAAGGAUCCAAGGCCUGCAACACACCAGGCAACUUGAGCCAAUCUCAAAGCCUCCAAUUUCCAUAUGCCAGUUUUGAGGAUUGCAGCAUGGCAGGUGGAUGUCACAAGUUCUGCACAUCUCAUACAACAGAUUCCCGAGAUUGAUGCUUAACACCCUCUCCGACACCAAAAUCAACUGGAUUGCACUUCAUUCAAGUUGCAAUAGUUACAAAUUGCCUCUUACAAAACUAUGAAGGUUGACUUGCUUGAUAUACAUGACCUUCCUCACCAUGAUAAGCAAAAUAUAUAUUGCCAGUUCCUCUUUCUUGUCAGGCUUUAAAACUCAGCAGGCGUUGUAAUUUAAAACAAGUUGAUCGCAUUGGCUUUAUGUUGUUGCUCAUCAAGAAGUCAAUCCGUCAUCAGCCAUUACACAUCUUGCAGCUUUCAACAGCUUUCAAAUUAUUUGAUUCUUUCAAACCUGCUAUUUUACAUCUCACAGCCCUAUCUUCUCAAAUAUUAACAUG